GACGAACGCUGGCGGCGUGCCUAAUACAUGCAAGUCGAACGAACCGCGACUAGGUGCUUGCACUUGGUCAAGGUGAGUGGCGAACGGGUGAGUAACACGUGGGUAACCUACCUCAUAGUGGGGGAUAACAGUCGGAAACGACUGCUAAUACCGCAUAGGACAUAGGAUCACAUGAUUCUGUGAGGAAAGGUGGCGCAAGCUAUCGCUAAGAGAUGGACCCGCGGUGCAUUAGCUAGUUGGUAGGGUAAAGGUCUACCAAGGCGAUGAUGCAUAGCCGACCUGAGAGGGUGAUCGGCCACAUUGGGACUGAGACACGGCCCAAACUCCUACGGGAGGCAGCAGUAGGGAAUCUUCCGCAAUGGACGCAAGUCUGACGGAGCAACGCCGCGUGAGUGAAGAAGGUCUUCGGAUCGUAAAGCUCUGUUGUUAGAGAAGAACAGCGCAUAGAGUAACUGUUAUGCGUGUGACGGUAUCUAACCAGAAAGCCACGGCUAACUACGUG
rnacentral:rRNA from 1 species